rnacentral:miRNA from 1 species
GCUGACACGUCCCGGCCAAUCUCCAGCAGACCCUCCCUCCCAGACCCUCCUACUUCCUGGACAGCAUCCAUGUUGAAAUGGAAGGCAGCUUCAACAUGGAUGCUGUCCAGGAGGUGGGAGGGUCUGGGAGGGAGGGUCUGCUGGAGAUUUGCCGGGAUGUGUCAG